CUUGACCGAUCCCAGCCACAGCGGCCGGUCGGCUUCCCGGUCCCGGCCGUAGGUGGCCAGCAGCGCGUCGGCCUC
rnacentral:antisense_RNA from 1 species